GAAUAUUGGAUAAUGGGCGAAAGCCUGAUCCAGCAAUGCCGCGUGAGUGAUGAAGGCCUUAGGGUUGUAAAGCUCUUUUACCAGGGAUGAUAAUGACAGUACCUGGAGAAUAAGCUCCGGCUAACUCCGUGCCAGCAGCCGCGGUAAUACGGAGGGAGCUAGCGUUGUUCGGAAAUACUGGGCGUAAAGCGCACGUAGGCGGUAUCGCAAGUCAGGGGUGAAAUCCCGGGGCUCAACCCCGGAACUGCCCUUGAAACUGCGACACUAGAAUACUGGAGAGGCAAGUGGAAUUCCGAGUGUAGAGGUGAAAUUCGUUGAUAUUCGGAAGAACACCAGUGGCGAAGGCGACUUGCUGGACAGUGAUUGACGCUGAGGUGCGAAAGCGUGGGGAGCAAACAGG
rnacentral:rRNA from 1 species